rnacentral:rRNA from 1 species
UACGGAGGGUGCGAGCGUUAAUCGGAAUUACUGGGCGUAAAGCGUGCGUAGGCGGUUCGUUAAGUCAGAUGUGAAAGCCCCGGGCUUAACCUGGGAACGGCAUUUGAAACUGGUGGACUUGAGUUGAGUAGAGGGGAGUGGAAUUUCAGGUGUAGCGGUGAAAUGCGUAGAUAUCUGAAGGAACACCAGUGGCGAAGGCGACUCCCUGGACUCAAACUGACGCUGAGGUACGAAAGCGUGGGUAGCAAACAGG